CAGCUAUAAAACAGCUUUAAUGUAGUGGAGAAUCAGACCUUAUGUAUCUAAAUCUGUUUUUCAGAACCGGGCUUUUCUUACAGGGAAAAAGAAGUGCCUCGGGUUUAAAGAGAACAGAAGGAAACCCAAGGGAAAAGACAGACUGUGUAUGAUGGAAGAUGUAUUCCCCAAAUGUGACGUUCAGCGGAUUGACCAUUUUUACUGCAAGAGCAAAACAUUCUCAGCUGGCUUAGCAGAGUGAUUGAGUUUUCCCAGCUGAUGUCCCGGCUACAUGGACUGUAGCCAUACAUUCCUAUACCUCUGAAAGAACGGUUUUGGGGUGAGCUGUAAGAGGCGCGUGUCAUGUUCCUUAUCUGUCUUCUACCUCAGUUUUGCACAUUGGACUUCGAUGAUGACAGUCACAAAGAGGCUGGUACGGGCAUGCUUAGUGGCGUGACAGCCUGUUUUGAUGUGCUCACGCACAGCAAGUUUCUCCCGCUCCGGAGGCUUUAACUGUGCUGGAGAGCAGAGCUGCUGCUUGGAUGAGAAAGGGUCUGAUCUCGACAGCGGUCUCAGCCCUUCCCAGAAGACAUGGGAUGAAAGCUCCUGACCCUGGUGUAAAAAAGCAUGUGGCCUCUUGCAUUGUCGCUGUCAGCUGUAGAUCACUGUCUCUGGUGCAGCCCACUCCUCUGAAGUGUGUUUCAUCUGUAUAAUAACAACCAGCUUCCGAUUUGGGGACUCAAAUGCUUCAGAGGAGCCCCAGCUCCUCUCUGAAAGACGCUCGGUAUGAUUCCCUCCUCCUGUGAUGCUCAUCCCCGGUGUUUCUGAGCUCCCACACACCCGAGCAGAGGCGGCCUGUGUAAGAAACCCUCAGGGUCCCCAGCCCUAAGGCUAGGUUCACAAGCAGAGGGCUGCAGGAAGAGGACGGGAGGGGGAAGGACAUGGAGGGCUAAAGGACUGUGAUUUCCUCUCCUUUCUUGGAGACGUGGGAAAAAGCAUGGGUUUUGGUUAAGUACAAGAAACCUGCCCAUAAAGUUGUUGCAGUGUGCUAAAUAGCAUGUGUAAUGUUGCAAAUAACGAUUCUUUUGAUUACACCGUGGUGUGAGGGGCACCG